UGCAAAGACUUCGAAUCGGGCCGAGAGUGCACAUGCAAAGCUCAAGCGAGAACUUAGAUCUUCCCAACUUGACUUCAAUGUAUCAUGGGAGCACAUCCACUCAUUAUUGUGUUUACAUCAUACUGAAGUUAAGGCUUCAUUUGAAAAAAGUCGAUGUUUUGUGCAACAUGAGUUUAAGCAUGCAUACUUGAGAGAGUUGAUAGGAUUUGUGUCCAUUGCGGCAUUGAACAAGAUCGUCUAUGAAGCGAACAAGGCUGAUGAUAUUACAUCGGAACUUGCAUCAUGUAAUUGUGCCAUAUGUAAAACACAUGGG